rnacentral:tRNA from 1 species
GGAGGGGUGGCAGAGCGGUCGAAUGCGGCGGUCUUGAAAACCGUUGUGCAGGCAACUGCACCGGGGGUUCGAAUCCCUCCCCCUCCGCCA